UGCCUAGCAACUCCUAUCCCUACCUCCUCGUGGUACUGACCGGGGUACGAGUAACCUUAGGGAAGAUCGGGUAACCAACUCCUGUGGGAACUUUGGUCGUAUGCUGACAGGGAAGG
rnacentral:ribozyme from 1 species